AGAGUUUGAUCAUGGCUCAGAAUCAACGCUGGCGGCGUGCCUAAUACAUGCAAGUCGAACGCGAAAGUCCCGCAAGGGAUAAGUAGAGUGGCAAACGGGUGAGUAACGCGUGGGCGACCUACCUCAGAGUGGGGGAUAACCUUCCGAAAGGAGGGCUAAUACCGCAUAACAUUCCGUGUUUGGAUACACGGACAUCAAAG
rnacentral:rRNA from 1 species